rnacentral:rRNA from 1 species
GGCCAGACUCCUACGGGAGGCAGCAGUGGGGAAUAUUGCACAAUGGGGGAAACCCUGAUGCAGCAACGCCGCGUGAGUGAAGAAGUAUUUCGGUAUGUAAAGCUCUAUCAGCAGGGAAGAAGAUGACGGUACCUGAGUAAGAAGCCCCGGCUAACUACGUGCCAGCAGCCGCGGUAAUACGUAGGGGGCAAGCGUUAUCCGGAUUUACUGGGUGUAAAGGGAGCGUAGACGGCUGCGCAAGUCUGAAGUGAAAGCCCGGGGCUCAACCCCGGGACUGCUUUGGAAACUGUGUAGCUAGAGUGCUGGAGAGGCAAGCGGAAUUCCUAGUGUAGCGGUGAAAUGCGUAGAUAUUAGGAAGAACACCAGUGGCGAAGGCGGCUUGCUGGACAGUAACUGACGUUGAGGCUCGAAAGCGUGGGGAGCAAACAGGAUUAGAUACCCCCGUAUUA